rnacentral:rRNA from 1 species
CCCUUAGAUGUUCUGGGCUGCACGCGCGCUACACUGAUGCGCUCAACGAGUUUUAACCUUGCCUGGAAAGGUUGGGUAAUCUUUUUAAAACGCAUCGUGAUGGGGAUAGAUUAUUGCAAUUAUUAAUCUUCAACGAGGAAUUCCUAGUAAGCGCAGAUCAUCAAUCUGCAUUGAUUACGUCCCUGCCCUUUGUACACACCGCCCGUCGCACCUACCGAUUGGAUGGUCCGGUGAAGCCUCGGGAUUGUGGUUCUUGCCGCUUUAUUGUGGCGUGACCGCGAGAACUUGUCUAAACCUUAUCAUCUAGAGGAAGGUGAAGUCGUAACA